GUGUAAGAGACCACCGUACCGCUGGUAACAGCGGUAGCCAUGUAAACCCCAUCCGAAGCAAGUUCUAAAAAGCGCGUACGUGGCCCGCCAGCGCUAGGUUGAACGCUUGAGACCACAGGCGACAGUGGCCCUAGAUAGAUGACUACUUUAAAAGACAUAACCCGGCUCACAGUCGGGCCUUUUUA
rnacentral:RNase_P_RNA from 1 species